GUCCUCAUGGCCCUUAUGGGUAGGGCUUCACACGUCAUACAAUGGCUGGUACAAAGGGUUGCCAACCCGCGAGGGGGAGCUAAUCCCAUAAAGCCGAUCGUAGUCCGGAUCGCAGUCUGCAACUCGACUGCGUGAAGUCGGAAUCGCUAGUAAUCGCAAAUCAGAAUGUUGCGGUGAAUACGUUCCCGGGCCUUGUACACACCGCCCGUCACACCAUGGGAGUGGGUUGCAAAAGAAGUAGGUAGCUUAACCUUCGGGAGGGCGCUUACCACUUUGUGAU
rnacentral:rRNA from 1 species